rnacentral:rRNA from 1 species
AUUGAACGCUGGCGGCAGGCCUAACACAUGCAAGUCGAGCGGAGCGGCGGACGGGGGAGUAAUGCCGAGGUAUCUGCCUGGUAGUGGGGGCUAACGUCCGGCAACGGGCGCUAAUACCGCAUACUAUUUGAUGAGCCUAGGCGGGAUUGGCUCGUUGGUGGGGUAAAGGGCUACCAAGGCGACGAUCCGUAACUGGUCUGAGAGGAUGAUCAGCCACACUGGAACUGAGACACGGUCCAGACUCCUACGGGAGGCAGCAGUGGGGAAUAUUGGACAAUGGGCGAAAGCCUGAUCCAGCCAUGCCGCGUGUGUGAAGAAGGUCUUCGGAUUGUAAAGCACUUUAAGUUGGGAGGCGUUACCAACAGAAUAAGCACCGGCUAACUUCGUGCCAGCAGCCGCGGUAAUAC